UAGAGAGUAGUAUACUGGAAAUACGGAGGGUUUUGAUUCCUCAGAUGCAGGUUCAAUCCCUGUCUUUUUAA
rnacentral:tRNA from 1 species